UACGUAGGUGGCAAGCGUUGUCCGGAUUUACUGGGCGUAAAGAGCGCGCAGGCGGUCGUGCAAGUCGCGUGUGAAAGCCCCCGGCUCAACUGGGGAGGGUCACGCGAUACUGCUCGACUCGAAGGCAGGAGAGGGAAGUGGAAUUCCCGGUGUAGUGGUGAAAUGCGUAGAGAUCCGGAGGAACACCAGUGGCGAAGGCGGCCUGCUGGCUGACAACUGACGCUGAGGCGCGAAAGCAUGGGGAGCGAACGGG
rnacentral:rRNA from 1 species